GGGGGCGCAAUGGUUUCGACGGGGAUUUUGAAGCUUGAGUAGCGAGUCGAUGUCGCCGAUCAUCGUAAAAAGUGGCACAUAAAUAUAAACGCAAAAACAAACAGAAGUUACGGUAUGGCUUUAGCAGCGUAAUUACGCUCUAAAGUACAGUAUUAAGACUUUCGCGGCAAAAUAAUUGCCGCACGCCUCCCGAUUCAACCUGUGGUUUAGGGUUUCGGCGUUCAUUGAAGCAGGGAACCGUUCUGGGUAGUGCCUCGCACCCUUAACGAUCAAGAGGCUGGUUUCGCUACUUCUUUGUCAUUGGAGAAGAAGAGAAAUGAGAAAAUAAUUAAUGACUGCACUCGGAGAAGCUUCUGUGAAUGGAUUUUCGGACGUGGGUUCGACUCCCACCGCCUCCACCA
rnacentral:tmRNA from 1 species